rnacentral:lncRNA from 1 species
UUGGUUAUUGAUAAUCUUGAGAAUUAGACUGAUGGUUAGGCAGUUUAGUUGGUAACAAUAGGUUGUUAGUGGAAUAAAUGGUUAAGAAUUCAAAAGGUCAUAAUCUUUUGAAUCUGCUAGCCGACGGAUCAUCUUUUUGGUAGGAUAAAUAGGUUGAAGAAAGAGAGAUCAAGGCCAAACUGUGAGAGUCGUAAGCCGACAUAAGCUUGGUGCUACCUCUUUGUUUUCUUUAUUAUUUACUUAUGAAGAAUUGUGAUUGAGAGAAGUAUUGUUGAAUUGAUAAUUGUAGAAUAGAUUAUGGGUUAAAUUAAGAUAGAAGUAAUAAGAUUUGGUAUUUUAUAGUUUGAUACUUGAUUUUAAAUAGCGAGAAUACAUUCAAUUGUGACACUAACAGAUCCAAUUCAUAUAACCAAUCUUUCCUCGUAUUCGAAUCCACAUCUAUUAGUUCAAUUGCUUUGUUAUAGUGAAGCUUGAACACAAC